ACAAACUCAGCUUUCCAGUGAGUGACGCCCAAAUUUGUGCAAAGAGAUAAGUUGGCGCUAAAGCUGAAACGUUGAUGUUCGCUUUUUGAAAUUCCUAAAAUCUCUUUUUGAAAACAAACCUAACCUAUGAUGUGUUGUAUGAAUUGUUUCGGUGCUUGAAAUGAGAUUACCAAAGUCUUAGGUUAUAUGUGAUUAAAAUAGUAAAUAAAUGUCUCAAAUGAAAUUUUGGAAUAUUACUUUUUGAGUAGGAGUUUUGUCAAACGUCGUUUGGACGCACCAGUGCGUCUUUCGUCCUCUGAGGGUUAAAUACGUCUUU